rnacentral:rRNA from 1 species
UACGUAGGCAGCGAGCGUUGUUCGGAGUUACUGGGCGUAAAGGGUGUGUAGGCGGUUGGUUAAGUUUGGUGUGAAAUCUCCCGGCUCAACUGGGAGGGUGCGCCGAAUACUGAAUGACUAGAGUGCGGGAGAGGAAAGUGGAAUUCCUGGUGUAGCGGUGAAAUGCGUAGAUAUCGAGAGGAACACCUGCGGCGAAGGCGGGUAGCUGGGCCGACACUGACGCUGAGGCGCGAAAGCCAGGGGAGCGAACGGG